CGUGGGUGGGGAGGUGUUGGUAGAGAAGUAAGGGUUAAGGCAAAAACAAUCCUGUAUUAAGAGUACCAUAUGAAACCUGGAAAACACGAUUCCUUGAACAGAUUAAUUCCAGAAAAUAGCUGCCAGCAGGAGAAAGAAGAGGUAAGCGCCUUGCCUUUCCCAAGAGCAAAAGGUGAUACUAGAAAAUACCAAGGAUAGAAGACCAGCGACUACCUAGCGACAGAAGGAGGAAACACACCAGACCAGAACUAAAGCAGAUAGCGGUUAGAAACGCCCAGUAAGGGUGCCAGAAACCACUUUCAGGUUUGUGGAGAAGGAAGUCAAGAGAGAAAAAGGGAAAGGAAAUCGUUGUUUAGGGUAUAACCUACAAUGAUUUUUUUUUUUUUUUUUGGAAGAAAGAGGGAAGACAGCACUUGAAGGGAAAGAGGGUAAAGAAGAGGAAGGGAGGUUACAAUUGAGAGCACCGCAGAAGGAAGCGAUGCAGAUGUUCGGCUCUGGCGGACCGAAGGAGGAACCCCAUGCAUAGCACAGCUAUCAUGGAUGCUGAUGGGGCCCCAGAGCCCCCUUCGCCAGGCUGCCGUCAUCAGCCUAGAGCUGUCCCCAUCCCCAGAGAUUUGGCCUGAGUCAAAUAUGAGCACGCUCUGGGAGAAUGUGUCUUCUCUACAAGGCGGUGAACUCCUUGAAGAUGGACCAAGUUGGAUCCAUCUUUGUCCUCAGGAUCCAGCACAGGCUUGAACCUGGCCAGACCAUACCAUACAUGUUGUCUUCAACUCCAAGCUGCAUAGAUUAAGGGCACAUUGGCCAAUUGGAGCCUAUGGAGAUGAGGGCAGUGGUGUGGAGUCUGGAAGCCAUGAAGAACAUAAGAAGAAUAAGGAAUGUUUAACUUGAAGAAGAGACCACUUCUGAGACAAUCCAUUCUCUGAUUCCACAGACUGUUUCUGGGCACCUCCUCUGUGGAAGGCCCGGGACUGGGGGCUGAAAAGGCCACGGAUGACACAGCUAUAGUCCCUGCCUGGGGAGCCCACAGUCUGAAUGGGAUCAGGCAGAGAAACAAGGAACUAUAAUAGAGUGUGGUCAGUACCACUAGAAAGGGAUGUAGCGUGUGGCCAGGGAAGUCCUCUUAGUGCAGGGGGGACAGAAUUAUGACAGUGUUGGUGGCAUUUUAGCUUUGAGGAGUAACUUUCUAACAAUCAGAACUAUCCAAGAAUGGAAGGCUGUCUCAGGAGGUAGUAAGUGCUCUGUGUCUGGAGAGAUGUGUGAGCAGGGCUGGGACAACCACUUAACAGACUGGAUAUAUAUUUUUUCUUUUUUAUCACUUUAUUUACAAAUUGUCUAUGUCUUUUAAUGUUAAAGUAUGUUUUUUGAUAAUAACAUAGAAUUGCUUGCAUUUAUAAAAGGUCAAAUGCUGCCUUUUAAUGAGAGUAUUUAAUCCAUUUACAUUAAAUUAGUAUGUUUGGAUUAAUCUAUCA